rnacentral:misc_RNA from 1 species
GAUGAAGAACGUAGCGAAAUGCGAUAAGUAAUGUGAAUUGCAGAAUUCAGUGAAUCAUCGAAUCUUUGAACGCACCUUGCGCCCUUUGGACUUCUGAAGGGCAUGCCUGUUUGAGUAUCAUGAACACCUCAACUCCUUAUGGUCUUCCAUGAUGAGCUUGGACUUUGGGGGUUUUGCUGGCCUACAGUCAGCUCCUCUAAAAUAAAUCAGCUUACCGGUGUUUGGUGGGUAUCAUGGGUGUGAUAACUAUCUACGCUCGUGGUUUUCCACCAGGUAACCUUCAGCAGUGGAGGUUCACUGGAGCUCAUAGAUGUCUCUCCUCAGCGAGGACAGCCCUUUGAAUGUUUGAUCUCAAAUCAGGUAGGACUACCCGCUGAACUUAAGCAUAUCAUAAGCGGAGA